GGAGAUGUCUAUUUUUUUGACUUUUGGCCAUCUUGCCACUGUAUUAACAUGGCCAGCUUCCUGACUCUGCUUUCUCUCCCAGCAGCUGUCAUUCUGCUGGGCCCAGGUCUCUUAUAACCACAGUACCAGCUGGGAAACCCAGAAGGCAUUGGUCCUGGUGCUCUAGCACCAGCCACCAGCCUGUCCUUGUUGUGAAGAAGCUUGGCCUACUACUCUUGAUUCCUUCUGGGAGAGCGCCAAACUCAGGGACCUGGCUGCUGAGCUGGAAUGGGCAUGGGGUAUCCUAGUAGGAUGUACAGCCUAUCAGGGUCCCACAGCUAUCGUGGAGACAAGUGUUUGAACUGUCCUCGUACCACCCAGACUUGUUAGUGAGUCAGAGCAGGGCUCUGGGGCUCUUUGCCUUCAGUGUUGUGGCCCUGGCCGUGGGCCUACCUUAGGCUCCUAAUCUCCGUCUCUGGGGUCCAGAGGAGCCACUACUUAGCCCCUCAGUAUUACCAUGUCUCCUCUUAGGAAUGUCAGAGGCAGGGCUGCUCGAAUGAGGCUGGCACUAUUCAAUUCUCCCGACCGUGCCAGCUUCCUUGGCCUCAUGCAGGUACUCAGGGUAGGGGACAGGGUCAAGAGGAGUUAGAACUUCUGUGUUCCCAUAGGGCUUGAUGCCAGUGGGGUAGUAAGCACAGCACUGCUUCAAGCUCCAGGCCCAGAUAGCCCUGUGCCCUCUGCUAGAUACAGGUGAUCCAAGCAGGCCCCUUACCUGUACAUAGCAACUGUCGGGGGGAUGGUACAGCAGUCCGACCCGCUAUAGUGUCUGUAAAUACUGAAUCAGUGAGUGAAGAAUAAAAGUGUGCUAAUAAGUGA
rnacentral:lncRNA from 1 species